rnacentral:rRNA from 1 species
AUUGAACGCUGGCGGCAUGCUUUACACAUGCAAGUCGAACGGUAACAGGGUGCUUGCACCGCUGACGAGUGGCGAACGGGUGAGUAAUGCGUCGGAACGUGCCGAGUAGUGGGGGAUAACGCAGCGAAAGUUGUGCUAAUACCGCAUACGUACUGAGGUAGAAAGUGGGGGACCUUCGGGCCUCGCGCUAUUCGAGCGGCCGACGUCUGAUUAGCUAGUAGGUGAGGUAAAGGCUCACCUAGGCGACGAUCAGUAGCGGGUCUGAGAGGAUGAUCCGCCACACUGGGACUGAGACACGGCCCAGACUCCUACGGGAGGCGGCAGUGGGGAAUUUUGGACAAUGGGCGAAAGCCUGAUCCAGCCAUGCCGCGUGUCUGAAGAAGGCCUUCGGGUUGUAAAGGACUUUUGUCGGGGAGGAAAUCCCCAGCGUUAAUACCGCUGGGGGAUGACAGUACCUGAAGAAUAAGCACCGGCUAACUACGUGCCAGCCGCCGCCGUAACAC